rnacentral:rRNA from 1 species
UACGGGGGGUGCAAGCGUUACUCGGGAUCACUGGGCGUAAAGCGUGCGCAGGCGGUUUUGUAAGACAGUGGUGAAAUCCCCGGGCUCAACCUGGGAACUGCAUCUGAUACUGGCAAGCUUGAGUCUCGUAGAGGGGGGUAGAAUUCCAGGUGUAGCGGUGAAAUGCGUAGAGAUCUGGAGGAAUACCGGUGGCGAAGGCGGCCCCCUGGACGAAGACUGACGCUCAGGUGCGAAAGCGUGGGUAGCAAACAGG